AUAACGCGACGUCCUGGGCUGGAGAUGUGCGUCCUCCUUACAGACACAUCCUAGGCCAGAAUAAAAGUCUAUUUUUAGGUGUGGUGGAGGAGCAAUUCCAGCUUCUACAAGAGGAAAAGCACUUCAGGGGUACAGGGUGUAGAGAAGAAGAAGAAUGGUGGUGCACAUGGGAUAUGUAA
rnacentral:lncRNA from 1 species